CUGCUUUCCAGUCCCUGUCCUUGGCCCUUCAAGCGUUUUUUCCUCAACCGGCAAUCGCUCGUCUGGAGAGAAGGAGAAGCUGCAAGGUCAGUGCAGGAGAGAGGCAGCAAGAAAUCUGAAGCCCAGAGAACAGCCUGGAGAAGGAGGAGCCGCCAGCUGGCAGGCUGCGCUUCAGAGCUGCUGAUCGGAUCCUGGUAGCCAGGGCUCUGGACGUGCCUGGUACAAAGGGAGGAGCUAAGCCUCCAGAGUCCUGGCAUGGGCAGGUGGGGGAGCCCCAAGGGCCAGCACCUCUGCCCCCACCCCAGAAGACUGCAGACAGCUGUGACGGAUGGCCACCUGGCCUGAACUGACUCCUGGCCCUCUCUUUAAUCCUGUUCUGACUCUGAGGACAUUCUGAUGCAGAAGGAAGAGGACCUGAAGUGCUGACAGCUGGUCCAAGAGCACACUUUGAGUAGUGAGACUCCGGAAUACUGAGCAGCGAGCACCAGAGCAGCAGUUCUCAUCAAAGGAGGGCAUCAGAACAAACACGCGGUCCUCGCCUCCUGCUCCCUUUCUCAAGACAGAGACAUUCUGAUCCAGUAGGUGUAGGGUGGGUCCUAACACAGGUGUUUCGAAACAGUCUCAAAUGGUUUCAUGCGCCCAUCCCCUUGUAAAAACUGGUUGUUCCUGAAUCCAAUAAUAAUACCUAUGUUAACCAA
rnacentral:lncRNA from 1 species